rnacentral:rRNA from 1 species
UACGUAGGGUGCGAGCGUUGUCCGGAAUUAUUGGGCGUAAAGAGCUUGUAGGCGGUUUUGUCGCGUCUGCCGUGAAAUUUCGAGGCUCAACCUCGAACUUGCGGUGGGUACGGGCAGACUAGAGUGUGGUAGGGGAGACUGGAAUUCCUGGUGUAGCGGUGAAAUGCGCAGAUAUCAGGAGGAACACCGAUGGCGAAGGCAGGUCUCUGGGCCACUACUGACGCUGAGAAGCGAAAGCAUGGGGGAGCGAACAGG